rnacentral:lncRNA from 1 species
AUGAAAUUGGGAGAAAUGAGAAAAAGCACGUAUCUGAAAAUACCUUUCACCCAUUCACACCUGUUUGAAUAUUUCAGGCACCAUCUGCCAGCAGCUUCCCAUGUGGCCUAUGGAGGACAACUGCCGGGUGCCCAGGAAGUGCCACCAAAGGGCUUCGGGGCUCACAGUCUGAGGACGGACAGCCCACAGUUCACUCUGGAGUGUAGCUGUUGCCAGGUGUGGCUGGGCAGGGGUCAACAAGUUCCCGCUUGCCCCGCAGAAGAACCCACACUGGAACUGAAAGUGAGGAAAGCGUUGCGUAAGCCGUUCAGUGUCAUGAUGACUGCAGUUCAACGCCAGCCAAACUCAACUUAGGAGAUUGCUUCAGAGGCAACCAUUUCCUGGACAAAGAACGUGAAGAGACAGUUUACAAAAAAAGGAACUACAAUGCAUCGACUGAUACAUGGAAAAAUGGUUAGCUCCUCAGGUAUUCAAGAAAAUGCAAAUUCUGAUAAAGUCACUUUGCAAAACUAACCUGCGGUGUGAGAUGUCAGGACAGCAGUUACCCGUAGGUGGGGUGGAGGAGGGUGAAAAGGGGCCCAGCAGGGGCUUCUGAGCUUCUGGUCAUGUUGUUCUUGAUGGGGGUGCUGGUUAUUUAGGGGUGCUCACUUUGUGAAAAUACACCUAUGACUUGUAUACAUCUCUGGAUGUAUGAUAAACCUCAUUGUAAAGUUUAUAUAAGAAAUAAGCUCACUUUCUAUUAAGUUAGCAGCAAAAAAAAAAAAAAACUCCAGAAAUAUUCAUAUUUGUUAACUCAAUAAUUCUACUUCUGAGAUUCUAACUUAAGAAAGAAUCCCAAGUGUCAAAAAAGGCUUAAAUUGCAAUAUUGUUUUUAAUAACAAAAAGUACGUAUUAGUGAAACAUUGAAAGCAAUCUACAUGUUCAGCUAUAGGGCAAUGGUUAAGAAAACUUUGAGGAGUUCCCAUCAGGCUCAGUGGUUAAUGAACCCAACUAGCAUCCAUGAGGACACAGGUUCGAUCCCUGGCCUCACUCAGUGGGUUAAGGAUCCGCCAUGCUGUGAGCAGUGGUGUAGGUCACAGAUGUGGCUCGGAUCCUGCAUUGUGGCUGUGCCCUAGGCUGGCAGCUAUUAGUUCACAUUUGACCCCUCACCUGGGAACCUCCAUAUGCCCCACCCCACCCC